UACGUAGGUGGCGAGCGUUGUCCGGAUUUACUGGGCGUAAAGCGCGCGCAGGCGGACUGAUCAGUCUGGGGUGAAAUCUCACGGCUCAACUGUGAGCGGUCCCUGGAUACUGUCAGCCUUGAGAUGUCUAGAGGAGAGCGGAAUUCCCGGUGUAGUGGUGGAAUGCGUAGAUAUCGGGAAGAACACCAGUGGCGAAAGCGGCUCUCUGGGGAACAUCUGACGCUGAGGCGCGAAAGCGUGGGGAGCGAACAGG
rnacentral:rRNA from 1 species